rnacentral:rRNA from 1 species
AGUGAACGCUGGCGGUAGGCCUAACACAUGCAAGUCGAACGGCAGCACAGUAAGAGCUUGCUCUUACGGGUGGCGAGUGGCGGACGGGUGAGGAAUACAUAGGAAUCUACUUUUUCGUGGGGGAUAACGUAGGGAAACUUACGCUAAUACCGCAUACGACCUAAGGGUGAAAGCAGGGGAUCUUCGGACCUUGCGCGAUUGAAUGAGCCGAUGUCGGAUGAGCUAGUUGGCGGGGUAAAGGCCCACCAAGGCGAGGAUCCGUAGCUGGUCUGAGAGGAUGAUCAGCCACACUGGAACUGGGACACGGUCCAGACUCCUACGGGAGGCAGCAGUGGGGAAUAUUGGACAAUGGGCGCAAGCCUGAUCCAGCCAUACCGCGUGGGUGAAGAAGGCCUUCGGGUUGUAAAGCCCUUUUGUUGGGAAAGAAAAGCAGCAGGUUAAUACCCCGCUGUUCUGACGGUACCCAAAGAAUAAGCACCGGCUAACUUCGUG